CAAACUUGAGAGUUUGAUCCUGGCUCAGAACGAACGCUGGCGGCAUGCCUAAUACAUGCAAGUCGAACGAGAUCCUUCGGGGUCUAGUGGCGCACGGGUGCGUAACGCGUGGGAAUCUGCCCUUGGGUUCGGAAUAACGUUUGGAAACGAACGCUAAUACCGGAUGAUGACGAAAGUCCAAAGAUUUAUCGCCCAGGGAUGAGCCCGCG
rnacentral:rRNA from 1 species